rnacentral:rRNA from 1 species
UCGACCGCGACCCCAGGUCAGGCGGGAUUACCCG